rnacentral:rRNA from 1 species
AUUGAACGCUGGCGGCAUGCUUUACACAUGCAAGUCGAACGGCAGCGCGGGGCAACCUGGCGGCGAGUGGCGAACGGGUGAGUAAUAUAUCGGAACGUACCCAGAAGUGGGGGAUAACGUAGCGAAAGUUACGCCAAUACCGCUUACGAUCUACGGAUGAAAGUGGGGGACCUUCGGGCCUCAUGCUUGUGGAGCGGCCGAUAUCUGAUUAGCUAUUUGGUGAGGUAAAGGCUCACCAAGGCGACGAUCAGUAGCUGGUCUGAGAGGACGACCAGCCACACUGGGACUGAGACACGGCCCAGACUCCUACGGGAGGCAGCAGUGGGGAAUUUUGGACAAUGGGCGCAAGCCUGAUCCAGCAAUGCCGCGUGAGUGAAGAAGGCCUUCGGGUUGUAAAGCUCUUUUGUCAGGGAAGAAACGGGACUGGUUAAUACCUGGUCCUAAUGACGGUACCUGAAGAAUAAGCACCGGCUAACUACGUGCCAGCCGCCGCCGUAACAC